rnacentral:rRNA from 1 species
ACAGAGGGUGCAAGCGUUGUUCGGAAUUAUUGGGCGUAAAGGGCUCGUAGGCGGCCAACUAAGUCGGAUGUGAAAUCCCCAGGCUUAACCUGGGAACUGCAUCCGAUACUGGAUGGCUUGAAUUCGGGAGAGGGAUGCGGAAUUCCAGGUGUAGCGGUGAAAUGCGUAGAUAUCUGGAGGAAUACCGGUGGCGAAGGCGGCAUCCUGGACCGACAUUGACGCUGAGGAGCGAAAGCUAGGGGAGCAAACGGGA